rnacentral:rRNA from 1 species
AGUGAACGCUGGCGGUAGGCUUAACACAUGCAAGUCGAACGGCAGCACAGUAAGAGCUUGCUCUUACGGGUGGCGAGUGGCGGACGGGUGAGGAAUACAUCGGAAUCUACUUUUUCGUGGGGGAUAACGACGGGAAACAUACGCUAAUACCGCAUACGACCUACGGGUGAAAGCAGGGGAUCUUCGGAGCUUGCGCGAUUGAAUGAGGCGAUGUCGGAUUAGCUAGUUGGCGGGGUAAAGGACCACCAAGGCGACGAUCCGUAGCUGGACGGAGAGGAUGGUCAGCCGCACGAGAACUGAGACACGGACCAUGCUCCUACGGGAGGCAGCAGUGGGGAAUAUUGGGCAGUGGGCGCAAACCUGAUCCAGCCAUCCCGCGUGUGUGGAGAAGACGUUCGGGUUGUAAAGCCCUUUUGUUGGUUGAGAAAAGCAGCAGGUUAAUACGCCGCUGUUCUGACGGUACCCGAAGAAGAAGCACCGGCUAACUUCGUG